rnacentral:hammerhead_ribozyme from 1 species
GCACUGCUGACGAGUCCGGAAUAGGACAAAACAGCUGUCCAGUGC